rnacentral:lncRNA from 1 species
UAAAGCAAGUGGGCCUCAUCCAGGAAGUUGAAGGCCUUAAAAGCAAAGACAGAUGUUUCCCAGCGAAGAAGGACUUCCCAAGAAUGCAAAUGAGAAACCCUGCUUGAAAGCCUGCUGCCUUUUGGAAUCUGAACGCAAGCCUGCAACAUCAGCUCUGACCUGAAUCUCCAGCCGGCCCUGUACAUUUCAGACUUGCCAGCCACCACAUCACAAGAGCCAAUUCCUUCGAAGAUAUCCACGUAUAUAUCUUGGAGAGCGCUGGUUAAUCCGACUAAAGCACUGCCUUUUCAGGAAAGGUGUGUCCCAGACAUCAAGAUACAGAUGAACCAGCAUCAAUGGCUCAAUGGGAGAGAUUCACACAUUAUUGGACAAAUAAACUCCACUGCGAUGCUUGUCCUUCAAGACCAGGGAAAAGCCUCAGGUGAGAAGGGUCGUGUGCUAGGCUGACCUGAGCAGUCAGGAUCCUUCAAGACAGAUGGGGCUCUAAUUCUUGAUAGAAAAGUAGGUGUUGCCCCAGCAAAGAAGUGGGAAAGGUCAUCAUGGGCAGAGAAAGUCAGGUUAAGGGGAAGGAUCUGAUGAGGCUGAGGAUUAAUGUGGAAAUCAAAACUGCCAUACGGAGUUGGGAAUAGGAGAGAGGGCUGACUAGGGAGUCAGGCUUUGGCUAGAUCAUAAAGGUCAGGAUAUGAACUUGAAGUCUGAAGUGAAACUUUAAGGUGUGGUAGAGCCACUGAAAAUCUGUCCCCCCACUACACACACACACACACACACACACACACACACACACUGAAGGGCUUGCAGGAAGGUGAGGAUAAACACAGAUUCUACAAUUUAUAAUCCUUGAGGCAGUGUUUCAAUGUUAGGGCAGGAGUAAGGAGACUGGAGGCAGGUAUUAAGAGUUUCACUGACGAUUUCUGUACUCUUUCGACAGAAGGAAGAGGAAGGACAGCUAAUGGAUUGUUGUAACUAGAUUAAGGAAGGAAAAAGCCAAGAGAAAACUCAAAGAUAAACAUCCCAAGGUUGUGUGAUUUGCAUGUAGAAAGAGAACGGUCUUAGUUCAGGUUGCUAUAAACAAGAACCCCAGUCUGGGUGGCUGACACACUGCAGACAAUUAUUUCUCAUGGUUCUGGAAG